rnacentral:lncRNA from 1 species
UGGUAAAGCAUGAAUUUUUUUACCCACAUCUCUACUUACAUAUAGCAGUAACCCAACUAGUCUCAUUCUUUUUGUACACAAAAUCAAAAUCCUCUUGUAUGCUAUAAAGUUGCAGCACUUUUCUAAACUAUGCAGCAUUGCUAAACAUCAUUUCAACCAAAAGUUUGAUGGUUCUUUUAACAUCUGUAGAUUUAUUGAAUUCGG